GAAGCAAACACAAGGACCGAAGGAACCAGCUUGAGCCUGCAGGGAAAAUACCAGGUCAAAGAGAAGACCGUCCUCAGGUAUGAAACGUGCAAGACCAGCUGAAUCACUGAGCAGAAGCGAGGGGCUUUCUAACUCAUCCUGAGCUGUGUCGCCUCCUGUCCUUACUGAAUCAGGUGACGGGAAUGGCCUGAAGUCCUGCAUGUAAAAGAGAAAAAGAAGAAAGAAAAUCGGGUUGUGCAACUUUUCCAGCCCCUCCCAUCCUCCUCCUGCUGCCAGAGGACCCUCCCAAACCCACCUCUUCCUUCUCUGCUUCACGCCCUUCAAGCAGCCCUCAUGGAGCCGCAGAUGGAUCGAGAGGCCCGGCCGGCCCGCCGGCGUUCAUCGGGUGGGCGAAGCUCCUUCAGCAGGAGCGCUGCAGCGGGCCCGGUGCGCUUCUGGACGGGCUGUGUCAUCUUCUGCCUUCUUCCUUCCUCUGCCUUCCUCGCCCCUGCUGCUGCUCCAGACUUGAGCCAGGUGUCACCCUUCUCCUUAAACCGGAGACUGGGAAAGACGCCCCUUCCUGAACGGGGCUGGUCCCAUUCACGUCUCCGUCCUGAAGCUCCUUAUGCCAGGAUUGGGCCAGAGCCGACGGUCCAUCCGUGCUUCUCUGAGUGAGUCCGCGUUCCAGAGCUGAUUAGCCGGGAGACUU